rnacentral:rRNA from 1 species
UACGUAGGGGGCUAGCGUUGUCCGGAUUUAUUGGGCGUAAAGAGCGUGUAGGCGGCCAAGUAGGUCCGGUGUGAAAACUCGAGGCUUAACCUCGAGAUGUCAUCGGAAACCAUUUGGCUAGAGUCCGGAAGAGGAAAGUGGAAUUCCUGGUGUAGCGGUGAAAUGUGUAGAGAUCGGGAGGAACACCGGUGGCGAAGGCGGUCUUCUGGACGGUGACUGACGCUGAGGCGCGAAAGCGUGGGGAGCAAACGGG